GACGAACGCUGGCGGCGUGCUUAACACAUGCAAGUCGAACGCUGAAGCUCAGCUUUUGUUGGGUGGAUGAGUGGCGAACGGGUGAGUAACACGUGAGUAACCUGCCCCCUUCUUUGGGAUAACGCCCGGAAACGGGUGCUAAUACUGGAUAUUCACUGGUCUUCGCAUGGGGGUUGGUGGAAAGGGUUUUUCUGGUGGGGGAUGGGCUCGCGGCUUAUCAGCUUGUUGGUGGGGUGAUGGCCUACCAAGGCUUUGACGGGUAGCCGGCCUGAGAGGGUGACCGGUCACAUUGGGACUGAGAUACGGCCCAGACUCCUACGGGAGGCAGCAGUGGGGAAUAUUGCACAAUGGGCGCAAGCCUGAUGCAGCGACGCCGCGUGAGGGAUGGAGGCCUUCGGGUUGUGAACCUCUUUCGCUCAUGGUCAAGCCGCAACAAUGGUUGUGGUGAGGGUAGUGGGUAAAGAAGCGCCGGCUAACUACGUG
rnacentral:rRNA from 1 species